rnacentral:misc_RNA from 1 species
UCUAGAGACCGCCCUGGUCUCAAGUGCUCACGCUUAUCGGUUGUUCGUGGCGGUCGUCAGUUGGCGGCUGGCAGAUUGCCAUCGAGUUGCAGCGUCUGCGGCGACUUGACUGGACUAUCGCCUGCCGACAUCUGAUCACAGGGAUUACUCAAAUACACGGGCCUGUAGCUCAGUUGGUUAGAGCACCGUCUUGAUAAGGCGGGGGUCGAUGGUUCGAAUCCAUCCAGACCCACCAGGACUCUAAUUGCAAGCGGGGUUCGGCGAAGCGACGAUUGACGAAACGGGUCGCAAGUCAAUCGAGGCGCGAACUGCCGGCGUGUACGAGCCGUACACAAGGCGCCGAGCAACGAAGAGUGACGCAGCGAAAGGGGCUGUAGCUCAGUUGGGAGAGCGCCUGCUUUGCAAGCAGGAGGUCAUCGGUUCGAUCCCGUUCAGCUCCACCAGUAAUCGCGCAAAGUGCAGAAGUAAGCUCGCGGGUUUACUUCUGAUCUUUGGAUCAGGCCGGAAACAUCGGUUGCUCUUUAAAAAAACGGAAGAAGUAAAGCGCACAUGACGGAACAUUGUCAUGUGAUGGGUUAGAUUGUAUCGAACCCGUUCUCUCUCGAGUUCAGAGAGGGCGGGUAGCGCAAACACCUGUAAUGCGAGCGCGCAAGUGCUCAGUGUUAUGGGGUCAAGCAGACUAAGUGCAUGUGGUGGAUGCCUUGGCGAUCACAGCGCGAUAGAAGGACGUGGCACGCCUGCGUUAAGCUCCGGGGAGCUGGCAAACCGAGCAUUGAUCCGGAGAUGU